rnacentral:rRNA from 1 species
GACGAACGCUGGCGGCGUGCUUAACACAUGCAAGUCGAACGGAAAGGCCUCUUUCGGGGGGUACUCGAGUGGCGAACGGGUGAGUAACACGUGAGUAACCUGCCCUUGACUUUGGGAUAACUUCAGUAAACUGGGGCUAAUACCGGAUAGGAGCUCCUGCUGCAUGGUGGGGGUUGGAAAGUUUCGGCGGUUGGGGAUGGACUCGCGGCUUAUCAGCUUGUUGGUGGGGUAGUGGCUUACCAAGGCUUUGACGGGUAGCCGGCCUGAGAGGGUGACCGGCCACAUUGGGACUGGGAUACGGCCCAGACUCCUACGGGAGGCAGCAGUGGGGAAUAUUGCACAAUGGGUGGAAGCCUGAUGCAGCAACGCCGUGUGCGGGAUGACGGCCUUCGGGUUGUAAACCGCUUUCGCUCAUGACGAAGCUUUGUGUGACGGUAGUGGGUAAAGAAGCACCGGCUAACUAC